CGGAGGUCUUCCGGCGAUAAGGUUCGUGGGUUUUGCGUAUCGUUUGUUGGGUACUCGCUGGGAUUGUUGUUGCUGUUGUAGAAUUGGAUAAUAGUGGGGAGUGCUGGAGCAAUGUGAUAUCGACUUUCUUGAUAAAACACAAGGGCUAGUUUAAUUGCAGAUAUUCAAUCAGCUCAAUCUUUAUCUUCUUCCUCAUACCAUUACUCAGAAACUACACAGAGAUUCUUCUUCUGCAAAAAGUCUAGAGGCUUCACGAACUCAGAUCCACUCUCCAUCUCCUUGUAUAUAUUAGUUGAUUCAGACAAGAAGGAUACUAAGUUGCAAGAAUUAAGGUUUUAAGAUUAUAAUUUGUUUCAUG
rnacentral:sRNA from 1 species